UGAGGAAUAUUGGUCAAUGGGCGAGAGCCUGAACCAGCCAAGUCGCGUGAAGGAAGACAGUCCUAAGGAUUGUAAACUUCUUUUAUACGGGAAUAACGGGCGAUACGAGUAUUGCAUUGAAUGUACCGUAAGAAUAAGCAUCGGCUAACUCCGUGCCAGCAGCCGCGGUAAUACGGAGGAUGCGAGCGUUAUCCGGAUUUAUUGGGUUUAAAGGGUGCGUAGGUUGUUCGGUAAGUCAGCGGUGAAACCUGAGCGCUCAACGUUCAGCCUGCCGUUGAUACUGCCGGGCUUGAGUUCAGUGGCGGCAGGCGGAAUUCGUGGUGUAGCGGUGAAAUGCAUAGAUAUCACGAGGAACUCCGAUUGCGAAGGCAGCUUGCCAUACUGCGACUGACACUGAAGCACGAAGGCGUGGGUAUCAAACAGG
rnacentral:rRNA from 1 species